rnacentral:rRNA from 1 species
GUGGGGAAUCUUGCGCAAUGGGCGAAAGCCUGACGCAGCCAUGCCGCGUGAAUGAUGAAGGUCUUAGGAUUGUAAAAUUCUUUCACCGGGGACGAUAAUGACGGUACCCGGAGAAGAAGCUCCGGCUAACUUCGUGCCAGCAGCCGCGGUAAUACGAAGGGGGCUAGCGUUGCUCGGAAUUACUGGGCGUAAAGGGCGCGUAGGCGGACAGCUUAGUCAGAGGUGAAAGCCCAGGGCUCAACCUUGGAAUUGCCUUUUCGACUGGCGGUCUUGAGUUUGGGAGAGGUGAGUGGAACUCCGAGUGUAGAGGUGAAAUUCGUAGAUAUUCGGAAGAACACCAGUGGCGAAGGCGACUCACUGGCCCAAUACUGACGCUGAGGCGCGAAAGCGUGUGGAGCAAACAGGAUUAGAAACCCUUGUAGUCC